ensembl:lncRNA
CGGUCUCUUCUUUCUCUCAAACCCCUCCCAGUCCCCUAUGGCCUCUCACCAUAUACCAGCACAGAGGGCACAAGCUAGGAUCAGUGUCAGGUUGGGUAUGUGGCCCCUGAUGAGGUAACUAGCCCCAGGUGUGAUAGUGAUGGGGGCUUUAGCCAUGGCUCAUUGCAUCCCUCUAGACCAUGAGACACCCCCCCCCCCUCCUCCGGGGGCCCGACCAUACCGAGCAUGGUAACAGAAACUGUGGCAACCCACACCAAUGUUUGUCUUCGUGAGAUGGGGUUUUGCCUCUGCAUUUAUCAUCCUUAAGAUCAUGCAGGCACAAUUAUCUUUUGAGAUUGUUUGCCUGUAUGUAAAUUAUCACUGUACUCAACCCACACGUUGUCUCAUACACGCGAUCCUAUUGUCAUGAAUAGAAAACAUUUUUUUUAAUGGGCAUCAGUAUUUGGCAUCUUUCAGAAUCUACCAUUAGCACCAGUGCCAUCAGUUGUCUGUUUCAUUUACCUUGCUCACUACACCAAAGGCCUCCUUUCACCCUAAAUUGUUCCUCUUUUCUGCUCCACGCGCCUCUGUAAUGUACUGUAACUGACUAGCCUAUGCAAAAAAACAAACCCAUUGAUAUGCUGCAAUAACUCUUCUGUGUGGUUGCCAGUACAAGCAAUAUUACUCUCAGUACAUGUCGCAAGUGUACCUCAGUUUAUUUUUUUUUAUUGCUACUAUGGUGUGUUUCGUGUGUAUGCUUUGAAAGUAAAUGUGUAUAUCUACAUGUUACCUCUUGGUGGGUUGGGGAGUAAAGAUAAAAAGCCAUUCUAGUUAAUUUUGUCUUUUUGUUUCUGUUAGUCUUUAGUGACAUGGAUAGAAGUACAGUCUGCUGUCAUUCUGAUCUGCUAAGAAUAUUACUCCUGCUUAUUAUGAAGAAAAAAUACAUCUGUAACUUGUGGAAACUAAAGGAGUGUUUUGAAUUAUAUUUUGUUGUAUUAACUAUUUAAUCUCUCCUCAGAAUAAUAUUAUUCUGUUGGUCCUGUGGGUACCUUUGCCACUGUUCCACCCCUUGUGUUGCGCUGUCAUGGUGUAUUUGUAAACAGUGAGAUGGCUUGUUUUUAUUGUAUUUGAGAAAUUUUCAGUGACUACUUAAUGGUUGCCUUCUCUCCUUGAUUGCCCAACCUUUUCAUAUAGAAGAUAGUGAAUGUGACCUUUAUCAAGUAUGGAAGCAAAUCUAAUCCCAGUGCUAGAUAACCGAGUGGAGAAAAUGAUCAGGUCUCUUAAAUGGGUUGUUUAGGGUACACCUCCGCUAGCCCUGGAGUUUGUUUUAGAUGAUCUCUCACUAAGGGGUGGGUUGCACUUGUAAUCAUACAUCACCAAGGCAACAAUGUCCUCGCAACAUAAUCUAAGGAGGCUCUGUUUAACCAACAUGAAACCCAGAUGUUUCUUUCAUUUCUCCCUCAACCAUAGAUAAUGUCAGGCGGAUGUCGAUGUUGUGGCUGAUGCGUAUGUAAAAAGACUUUGCAAAAACCAACACCCACGCUAGAGGAGGAACCGGUCGACCACAAUCACAGACCCUUUCGUGUUCUUUUUCCUAUCUAGAUCAAGCCCCCAAAAAAGUGUAGGAAAAAAAAAGCACUCAUGUGGUACAUUUGAAUGCUUUGGUUUAGUUGGGGGUCUGCUGUGUACUGUUGGGUAAUUUGGAUUUUAUUUUUGUAUAAUAAAACAAACAUUGGCACUGUU